CUUCGAUCUUCUAGACAUGUUGGCCUUUAUUAAUGCCUUCAGUUUAGGCUUGCUUGAUUCUUUCCAUCGCAGUUGUCCGUGAUCUUUGCUGAUUGAUUUGUAAUCUUGCUGAUUGAUUUCUGUUCCUAAGCAUCAAGAUUUCUUGUAGUAUCUUCUUGAUUCUUUGUUCUUCUGUAAUGGAUUUCAUGCGCAAAUAUAUCAUUUGCAUCAUUAAAACUAAAUCUAACAGUCUUCCCAUUUUUGAUGAUGAUGAAAUAAUAUAUAGGUGUAAAGACCAGUUGACUUUCCUGUGUUUACUCCCCCUCAAUAUAUGCAAUUUACUACUCCAUGGUACACCCUUCCCCCACCAGUUCAUGCACUAAGAGGUUGACUAGUCCAUAGGUAGAGUCGGCUCCUGCCAUUGAAGACGUUACUUUUGCCAACGGGCAACUGUGCC
rnacentral:lncRNA from 1 species